rnacentral:rRNA from 1 species
UGGAGCAUGUGGUUUAAUUCGAUGCAACGCGAAGAACCUUACCUGGGCUUGACAUCCCGGGAAUCCCUUGGAAACAAGGAGUGCCCUUCGGGAACCUGGAGACAGGUGCUGCAUGGCUGUCGUCAGCUCGUGUCGUGAGAUGUAGGGUUAAGUCCCGCAACGAGCGCAACCCUUUGUCUUUAAUUGCCAUCAUUGAGUUGGGCACUUUAAAGAGACUGCCGGUGUUAAACCGGAGGAAGGUGGGGAUGACGUCAAGGUCCUCAUGGCCCUUAUAUCCAGGGCUACACACGUGCUACAAUGGCCGGUACAAAGGGUCGCAAUACCGCAAGGUGGAGCUAAUCCCAAAAAGCCGGUCUCAGUUCGGAUUGGAGUCUGCAAUUCGCCUGCAUGAAGUCGGAAUCGCUAGUAAUCGCAGGUCAGCAUACUGCGGUGAAUACGUUCCCGGGCCUU